rnacentral:rRNA from 1 species
AUGGGUGGCACCCGCCGACGAGGUCUGCCCGCUGCCCCUCCCUGCAACUUGAGCUUCACACGGGCCCUCUUCUGGAGGGUGACCCUCUUGAUCGCCAGCAGCUGCUUGGUGGAGCUGUCGCCGACCACCAGCCACUACGCCUUCCUCCUUGGUCUUAGGGAACCUGGGGGCGUGAACCGGGCCGACCUCGGAGUUGGGCUUUAUGUCAUCGCCCUUAUGAUAUCGCCCUCACGGACCUCUUUAGAGCUUUUUCAGUGUCGUUUGGGCAGACUGUAA